UGAGUCGGCCAGGCGGUCGCGUCGUCGGGCUCCGGCCCGGCGCCGAGGAACGUCCGGGCUCCGCAGAGCAAGGUGGUGGGUAACACCCACCCGGGGUGACCCGCGGGACAGUGCCACAGAGAGCAGACCGCCCCGUCCUCGGACGGGGUAAGGGUGAAACGGCGGUGUAAGAGACCACCAGCGCACCGGGCGACCGGUGCGGCUCGGUAAACCCCACCUGGAGCAAGACCAGACAGGGAGCGUUCGAGGGCUGCUCGUCCGAGCUCCCGGGUAGGUCGCUGGAGGCGUGCGGCAACGUACGUCGUAGAUGGAUGGCCGCCACCUGUGCAGGGGCAACCGUGCACAGGGACAGAACCCGGCGUACCGGCCGACUCAUCCG
rnacentral:RNase_P_RNA from 2 species